UGGGGAACUUUGGACAAUGGGCGCAAGCCUGAUCCAGCCGUUCCGCGUGAGUGAAGAAGGCCUUCGGGUUGUAAAGCUCUUUCGCAAGGGAAGAAAACUUACCUUCUAAUAAAGGGUGAGGCUGACGGUACCUUGAUAAGAAGCACCGGCUAACUACGUGCCAGCAGCCGCGGUAAUACGUAGGGUGCAAGCGUUAAUCGGAAUUACUGGGCGUAAAGCGUGCGCAGGCGGUUUGGCAAGUCAGAUGUGAAAUCCCCGAGCUCAACUUGGGAACUGCGUUUGAAACUGCCAGACUAGAAUAUGUCAGAGGGGGGUAGAAUUCCACGUGUAGCAGUGAAAUGCGUAGAGAUGUGGAGGAAUACCAAUGGCGAAGGCAGCCCCCUGGGAUAAUAUUGACGCUCAUGCACGAAAGCGUGGGGAGCAAACAGGAUUAGAUACCCUGGUAGUCCACGCCCUAAACGAUGUCUACUAGUUGUUGGUGGAGUAAAAUCCAUGAGUAACGCAGCUAACGCGNUAAGUAUCCCGCCUGGGGAGUACGUUCGCAAGAAUG
rnacentral:rRNA from 1 species